ensembl:piRNA 21ur-3876 ncRNA
UUCCAACUGACACAUUUUUAU